AAAAAUCGUUAGGCGCUA
rnacentral:miRNA from 1 species